UACAUGGGGUGCAAACGUUGCUCGGAAUUAUUGGGCGUAAAGCGCGCGUAGGCGGUUACUCAAGUCGGAUGUGAAAGCCCUCGGCUUAACUGAGGAAGUGCACCCGAAACUGAGUAGCUAGAGUACUAAAGAGGGUCGCGGAAUUCCCGGUGUAGAGGUGAAAUUCGUAGAUAUCGGGAGGAACACCGGUGGCGAAGGCGGCGACCUGGGUAGAUACUGACGCUGAGGAGCGAAAGCGUGGGGAGCGAACAGG
rnacentral:rRNA from 1 species